rnacentral:lncRNA from 1 species
GGCCUUCCAGGACGAGGGCGAGGAGCAGGACGACAAGAGCCGCGACAGCGCCGUGGGCCCCGAGCGCGACCUGGCCGAGCUCAAGUCGUCGCUGGUCAAUGAGUCCGAGGGCGCGGCCGGCGACGCUGGGGUCCCGGGGGCGGGCGCCAGGGCCCGCGGCGAGGCCGAGGUCGGGGCCGAGGCUCUCGGGCGGGAACACACUUCGCAGAGACUUUUCUCCGACAAACUUCCAGAGUCUCUGGAAGAUGGCCUGAAGGCCCCGGAGUGCGCCAGCGGCAUGUACAAAGACACCGUCUACUCCGCCUUCAAUCUGCUCAUGCACUACCCACCCCCCUCGGGAGCAGGGCAGCACCCCCAGCCGCAGCCCCCGCUGGUAAGUGGCCCCAGCAACCCAGCCCGCCUUGUGCCUGGCCACCUCCUUGAUCAGGUAUGUGAGGCGUAGGCAAGAAGUGCCGCUUCCUGGAACAAAAUAGAUAUAGGAGAGCUGUGUUCUUGUCUCUCUCUCUCUCUCUCUCCCCAUAUCCACCCAGUGGGGUCUGAACCAGAACCUUCCUGAAGGAAGGAGGGCCCGGGGCACCGCACUUCCCUCCAGCUGUUGGCUUUUGUCUUCCCAGCUUGCUCACCAGCAGGUGCAGGCGCUGUGGUCUUGGGGUUAGCUGAUGGCUGGGGUGGAGCCUCCUCUGAGAACUUUGAAGCCGAGACCACCUACCUGUCCUAAGGGUGGUGCAUGGAGUGUGGUCAGAGCUGUGAGCUUUGCUGUAAGCCUCGGUGUUUGGAGGGAUGGGCACAGAAGCUGGACUGCUUCGGGGCUCCUGGUUGUGCGGGAGAAGCGGGCUCUACGCACUCCGUCCCCGUUGGCCCACGGAUGUGCCCUUGCCAGAGAAAGAAGCCAAACCCGAUGUGUGGAACGUGGGUUUUUGUGAAGCUGCCUUGGGCUCAGACACACCAGGAAGGGUUUGCAGAGGUGUCUUAAAUCAGUAAAGGGCCUGUUGAAUGAAUUUGCAGAUGAAAUGUUGAAGGACCCAGGGCUUGGGGAAGAUUCCAGGAUCAUGACAAACCAUGCCUUUCUGCCCACUGGUGCAGAUGACCUAAAGUGUGAAGAGCCUCUUUUGCGUGCUUUGGAGCAGGAAGGCUGCUCUUGCAAAAAGUUCAGAUGAGUGUUGCGGAUCAUGCUCCGUUGGCCCAAGUCAGGGGGGAGCCGAGAGCUUCUAGAGUACAUGAAAGGUUUGGGGGCUGUAGUGGGCAGGUGUGGGUUGCAAAUGCAGACCCAGCGCAGGUGGAGCCUGCAGAGGGAGGCUCCCGUGGCUUGUGGUGGGGUCCCCCAGAGGGCUGAGAGGGACUGCCAUGCUGAUUCGGGAGUGAGGAGAGCUGGCUCUGAAAGCUCUUUCGGGCUGAAGCUGGUGGGACGUGAGAAAAUAAAUGAAGGCUUCUCUCCGGAAACUUAGGAUGAGAAACCUGGUAGCCAGCUGCCUAGAAAUGAGCCCCUCGCCCUUUGGACCCCCAUCCCCUCAUCUGCAAAGGAACACGUUGGCCCAGUGUUCUUGCUGGCUUUGUGCUCUGGGGUGGCUCCAUCUGUGAGCUAUUUGCUUCCUUCUGAGCCUGUGAGGGACGGGGCUUGCCUGCCGACCUUGCCCCCAGAGACCUGUCCCCUGCAUGAGCUGAUACUUAACAAAGAUGCUUCGGUGCCACCCCCGCCUCCCCGCAACGGGUCAACCCUGAGAUGGGGGCCAAGUGUGGAACAUAACCCACCACUGCCAAACCGCCCCCAAGCGAGCUGCGUAGACAGGGAGCUGGGUCCCUGUGAUGACGGCGACUAGACCAAAGGCCUAAGCGCCCAAACAGUCCCAGCAAGCAGAUUCUCCCCAGCCUCCUGUGACUCCAGAGAGAUGCGGGGAGAAGGCGGUGUUUCUGUGUCCCUUUCACAGCGUGGGCUGUGGUAGGAGAGGGCCCGGAGGGGGAGCGCCUCGUUCUCAGUAAGGGUGUGCUGGUGGGACUGAUUGGUGUCGUGUAGCUUACGCUGGUCAGGGUGUGGGCAGCUGGAUGGCCGCCUCCAGCCGUCAGCCUGGAGGGAGUAGGGGCUAAGGCAGGCCCCGCUCCCCUGGCCUGGGUCCUUGAUGUUUUCAACCUUGGGCUCUUUCUCAAGCUCCAGCAGAUGCAGUUCUGUGUGUCAUGCCCCCUCUUCUAGAAGCAAAUCCCUUUGUCCUCCCUCCCACUCAGCUGUAGCCUCCUGGAGCCCGGCUUCAGGCAGCACAGGGGGAAGGCAGGCUCAUGGAGCCCUGGCUUGGGCUGCUCCCUGGGGCCGGAGUCAAGGACAGAGGCAAGGACCUACGCUGGGGAAAGGCUGGGAGACGUAGAUGCGCGUGGAGGGAGGGGAGCCUUUUUUAAGCAAACCUGAGAGUUGGAAACACAGCAAGUGAGAGGAGUGCAUGUAUCACUUGGAGUAUUGUGUGGGUCUUUAAAAUAUGGUGGGGUUUUAAAAAGCAGAAUUCGUAGACCCCGUGUUUUAGGAACAUGUUUAUCAUGUAAUUCAAGGUUCAUGGGUCUGGAGUGAGGAAAGAUACUCUUAUGGGGGGACAGGAGGCCCUUGCGGGGGCCCUGGGAGCAAACUCGCCUUUCCCAAACUUACGCUUUCCUGAGCGCACCUUCAGGGCCCAGCCGCCCAGCCCCUGCCCUUGGCCUGGGCACCAGCCUCCCUGCUCUUUGCCUCCUCUGAGCAAAUCCAAGUGGUCUGCCAUCGUGCUGGGGGCUCAGGGCCCAUCACUUGACCUCCCAGACAGUGGGCAGAACCCACGCCAGGGACCCCCUCUGCCCUCGUAUGGGCGGAAGGCCCACGUGGCUACCACACCGGACACCUCAAAGCAGGCGGGCUCCAGCCGUGCCAGGAGCAGUGGGCCAAACAACCACCUCACAGCCAGCUGCCAGGAGGCAGAGGGAAGUCCUUUUCCCGCAGGUGGCUUCUUUUUGGUAGUUGGCUUCUUGCAAACUUUGUUUGGGGAUGGGAAACUAGGUCAAGGUUUAUUUCACGGCUCGUGUCUUUCAAGCAGCUCAGGUAGGCUUGCAGACAGUUCCUGGCCUAGACCAGUAGUCACUGCUUGUUUUGUUUUACUUGCUCUGCUCUGGGAUUGUGAGGGGUGGUGAGCAGGUCCUGGGCCAGACGCUGAGGGAUUUGGGGGAGCGGUAAGGCAUCACUCUUAAGGAGACGCACACUCUUGGAGUGUGCAGAGCUGCCAGUCUGCUGCAAAUUGUCAUCUCAGAAAGGAUAACAGGGGAGUUCCCAUCGUGGUUCAGUGGUUAGAGAUCCCGACUAGGAUCCAUGAGGUUGCGGGUUCGAUCCCUGGCCUCGCUCAGAGGGUUAAGGAUCCGGCGUUGCCAUGAGCUGUGGUGUAGGUCGAAGAUACUGCUUGGAUCCUGCGUUGCUAUGGCUGUGGCGUAGGCCAGCAGCUGCAGCUCCAAUUCGACCCCUAGCCUGGGAACCUCCAUAUGCCACUGGUGCGGCCCUAAAAAGCAAAAAAAAAAAAAAAA